AUUGAACGCUGGCGGCAUGCCUUACACAUGCAAGUCGAACGGCAGCACGGGAGCUUGCUCCUGGUGGCGAGUGGCGAACGGGUGAGUAAUACAUCGGAACGUACCCAGGAGUGGGGGAUAACGUAGCGAAAGUUACGCUAAUACCGCAUAUUCUGUGAGCAGGAAAGCGGGGGAUCGCAAGACCACGCGCUCUUGGAGCGGCCGAUGUCGGAAUAGCUAGUUGGUGAGGUAAAAGCUCACCAAGGCGACGAUCCGUAGCAGGUCUGAGAGGAUGAUCUGCCACACUGGGACUGAGACACGGCCCAGACUCCUACGGGAGGCAGCAGUGGGGAAUUUUGGACAAUGGGGGCAACCCUGAUCCAGCCAUGCCGCGUGAGUGAAGAAGGCCUUCGGGUUGUAAAACUCUUUCGGCGGGGAAGAAAUGGCAACGGCUAAUAUCCGUUGUUGAUGACGGUACCCGCAUAAGAAGCACCGGCUAACUACGUGCCAGCAGCCGCCGUAAAAC
rnacentral:rRNA from 1 species